rnacentral:rRNA from 1 species
UACAGAGGUCUCAAGCGUUGCUCGGAAUCACUGGGCGUAAAGGGUGCGUAGGCGGGGCUUUAAGUCAGGGGUGAAAUCCUGGAGCUCAACUCCAGAACUGCCUUUGAUACUGAAGAUCUUGAGUUCGGGAGAGGUGAGUGGAACUGCGAGUGUAGAGGUGAAAUUCGUAGAUAUUCGCAAGAACACCAGUGGCGAAGGCGGCUCACUGGCCCGAUACUGACGCUGAGGCACGAAAGCGUGGGGAGCAAACAGG